rnacentral:rRNA from 1 species
GAUGAACGCUGGCGGCGUGCUUAACACAUGCAAGUCGAACGGUGAACACGGAGCUUGCUCUGUGGGAUCAGUGGCGAACGGGUGAGUAACACGUGAGCAACCUGCCCCUGACUCUGGGAUAAGCGCUGGAAACGGCGUCUAAUACUGGAUAUGUGACGUGACCGCAUGGUCUGCGUUUGGAAAGAUUUUUCGGUUGGGGAUGGGCUCGCGGCCUAUCAGCUUGUUGGUGAGGUAAUGGCUCACCAAGGCGUCGACGGGUAGCCGGCCUGAGAGGGUGACCGGCCAGACUGGGACGGAGGCGCGGACGAGGCGCCUCCGGGAGGCAGCAGGGGGGAAUGGGGGACAAUGGGCGGGAGGCUGAUGAAGAAUCGGCGCGGGAGGGAGGACGGCAUUCGGGGAGUAAACCAAAUGUAGCAGGGAAGCAGCGAAAGAGACGGGAAGUGAAGAAAAAGCGCAGGCCAACCCAGUG